GAUGAACGCUGGCGGCGUGCCUAAUACAUGCAAGUCGAGCGAACAGACGAGGAGCUUGUUCCUCUGACGUUAGCGGCGGACGGGCGAGUAACACGUGGAUAACUUACCUAUAAGACUGGGAUAACUUCGGGAAACCGGAGCUAACACCUGAUAAUAUAUAGAACCGCAUGGUUCAAUAGUGAAAGACGGGUUUGCUGUCACUUAUAGAAGGAUCCGCGCCGCAUUAGCUAGUUGGUAAGGUAAAGGCUUACCAAGGCAACGAUGCGUAGCCGACCUGAGAGGGUGAUCGGCCACACUGGAACUGAGACACGGUCCAGACUCCUACGGGAGGCAGCAGUAGGGAAUCUUCCGCAAUGGGCGAAAGCUUGACGGAGCAACGCCGCGUGAGUGAUGAAGGUCUUCGGAUCGUAAAGCUCUGUUAUUAGGGAAGAACAAAUGUGUAAGUAACUAUACACGUCUUGACGGUACCUAAUCAGAAAGCCACGGCUAACUACGUG
rnacentral:rRNA from 1 species